CUACAGGCUUAACACAUGCAAGUCGAGGGGCAGCAUGGUCUUAGCUUGCUAAGGCCGAUGGCGACCGGCGCACGGGUGAGUAACACGUAUCCAACCUGCCGUCUACUCUUGGACAGCCUUCUGAAAGGAAGAUUAAUACAAGAUGGCAUCAUGAGUCCGCAUGUUCACAUGAUUAAAGGUAUUCCGGUAGACGAUGGGGAUGCGUUCCAUUAGAUAGUAGGCGGGGUAACGGCCCACCUAGUCUUCGAUGGAUAGGGGUUCUGAGAGGAAGGUCCCCCACAUUGGAACUGAGACACGGUCCAAACUCCUACGGGAGGCAGCAGUGAGGAAUAUUGGUCAAUGGGCGAGAGCUUGAACCAGCCAAGUAGCGUGAAGGAUGACUGCCCUAUGGGUUGUAAACUUCUUUUAUAAAGGAAUAAAGUCGGGUAUGGAUACCCGUUUGCAUGUACUUUAUGAAUAAGGAUCGGCUAACUCCGUGCCAGCAGCCGCGGUAAUACGGAGGAUCCGAGCGUUAUCCGGAUUUAUUGGGUUUAAAGGGAGCGUAGAUGGAUGUUUAAGUCAGUUGUGAAAGUUUGCGGCUCAACCGUAAAAUUGCAGUUGAUACUGGAUAUCUUGAGUGCAGUUGAGGCAGGCGGAAUUCGUGGUGUAGCGGUGAAAUGCUUAGAUAUCACGAAGAACUCCGAUUGCGAAGGCAGCCUGCUAAGCUGCAACUGACAUUGAGGCUCGAAAGUGUGGGUAUCAAACAGGAUUAGAUACCCUGGUAGUCCACACGGUAAACGAUGAAUACUCGCUGUUUGCGAUAUACUGCAAGCGGCCAAGCGAAAGCGUUAAGUAUUCCACCUGGGGAGUACGCCGGCAACGGUGAAACUCAAAGGAAUUGACGGGGGCCCGCACAAGCGGAGGAACAUGUGGUUUAAUUCGAUGAUACGCGAGGAACCUUACCCGGGCUUAAAUUGCAGAUGAAUUACGGUGAAAGCCGUAAGCCGCAAGGCAUCUGUGAAGGUGCUGCAUGGUUGUCGUCAGCUCGUGCCGUGAGGUGUCGGCUUAAGUGCCAUAACGAGCGCAACCCUUGUUGUCAGUUACUAACAGGUUCCGCUGAGGACUCUGACAAGACUGCCAUCGUAAGAUGUGAGGAAGGUGGGGAUGACGUCAAAUCAGCACGGCCCUUACGUCCGGGGCUACACACGUGUUACAAUGGGGGGUACAGAGGGCCGCUACCACGCGAGUGGAUGCCAAUCCCCAAAACCUCUCUCAGUUCGGACUGGAGUCUGCAACCCGACUCCACGAAGCUGGAUUCGCUAGUAAUCGCGCAUCAGCCACGGCGCGGUGAAUACGUUCCCGGGCCUUGUACACACCGCCCGUCAAGCCAUGGGAGCCGGGGGUACCUGAAGUGCGUAACCGCGAGGAGCGCCCUAGGGUAAAACUGGUGACUGGGGC
rnacentral:rRNA from 1 species